rnacentral:lncRNA from 1 species
AUCUGCUUCACAGAUACAGAAAGCAUUGAUGGCUGCACUCUCAUGUAGAGUAGUAGAGAGCAUGUUACUGUGUCAUUUAUAGGCUCAGGGGCAGGGGUAGGGUGGCUUCAGGCAGCAGUGUUUUGGCUGGCAGGCAGGGUGGCAACUGGAGAAGACAGGGACUGGGGCUGCUGACCUGACUGUAGCUGCUAGGCUUGAUCGAUCCAUGAAAAAUUUGAUUCUAAACUCGUCUCAAAACUAGAGGGGGGCAGCUUUUCGUUUCUGAUGGUAUUUCCGAAUUUGGCCCCCAAAAAUUUUCGAAAUUAACGAAAAUUCGUUAUUUUCAAAAUUAAUUCGUUAAUGGCGGACGCGCAUGCGCAAUUCCCAAAAACAGCACAGAGGGAGAGGACUUUACAGGACUCUCCCACCCUCAUUUUUUGAGUGAUCUUCUUCAAACUUGGUACAGUGGUAGAACACAUUUAACACUGAUAGCUCACCAAAAUUUGGAACGUUUCCCUUAUCCACUGAUUUUUGGAGAAUUUUCAUAGCUUUUAUAAUAAACCAUUUUUUAAUAAUUGCAGAAAUCUGUUCCUGGUUUGAAAGUCUUAUUUCCUGUUAAAUUGGGUUGUCUUUACUGUGAAAGUCAUUGUUCUACUUCAGAAACUUUGUUUUUGUGGCUGAAACUUUGUUAAAUUGGUGUGUGUGUGAUAUAUAUUGUAUAUAUAUAUAUAUAUAUUCCCUGCUUAUGUGUGUGUGUGUGUGUGUGUGUGUAUAGGUAAAGGUAAAGGUAUCCCUUGACGUUAAGUUCAGUCAUGUCUGACUCUGGGGGUUGGUGCUCAUCUCCAUUUCUUGGUCUUACUGAAACCCACAAACAUCAGAAAGAUAACAAACAAUUAAUAAAUAUUCCAGGUUGGAGCGUGAUAGCUGAAGCGAGAGGUACGAAUAAAGCUAGAGGGGUAGCGAUUAUAAUGAAAAACUCAUUGAAACUGGAAAUAUUAGAAACAAUAAUAGAUAAGGAAGGGAGGUACAUAGUACUAAUAUGCAAAAUAAAUGGCAAGAAAUAUACAAUAGGAAAUGUAUAUGGCCCAAAUAAAGGACAAAAGAAAUAUUUUAGAAAGUGGUUUAGGAAAGUACAGGAAAUUUAUCAAGGCGAGCUAAUAAUUGGAGGGGAUUUUAAUAUGGACCUUAGAAAAAACAAAGACCUUGUAAAAAAUGGAAAAUGGAGGACAUAUUUGAAGCAAAUCUCAUAAAACAAAAGCCAACAUACUUCUCACAAAGUCAUAAAUCUUUUUCAUGGAUAGAUUAUAUAUUAAUAAAAAAAUACUA